CUCCAGUGCCAGGCUCCAGUCAGUGUCCUAGUAGGCUCCUGAUAAGUGAGGAACAUCGGUCUGCCUGCAGUCAGCUAAUCUCCCCGAACCUUGUUCACUGCAUCAGGAGAUCAUAAAGCAAAAGGGUCACACAGGUAGACCUGCACAACGGAGAUGAAGAUGUUCUCCCAGGACCCAGACAGACAUAACCAAGAGGCAGCUUAUCACGUAUACAGCACUGCUACACUCCAUGGGCUUCUGGAGAAUCCAUAAGCAACUGGAAUUAUCCUCUUUGAUGACCCAUCCAGCUGUCAAAGGCAGAACACCCUAAUGGCCUUCUUAGCUAGCUGCCUGCUAAUCAGCUGCUUACCAAGAAAAGGCAGUGUUCAUAAUUUUAAACUCCUCUACAGUUUUUCAUUUUC